CUACGGGCCGCUCCAGUGAGGAAUAUUGCACAAUGGGGGGAACCCUGAUGCAGCAACGCCGCGUGGAGGAUGACGUAUUUCGGUGUGUAAACUCCUUUUAUAUGUCAAGAAAAUGACGGUAGCAUAUGAAUAAGCACCGGCUAACUCCGUGCCAGCAGCCGCGGUACUACGGAGGGUGCAAGCGUUACUCGGAAUCACUGGGCGUAAAGGACGCGUAGGCGGGUUGGAAAGUCAGGUGUGAAAUCCUACAGCUUAACUGUAGAACUGCACUUGAAACUUCUAAUCUAGAGUAUGGGAGGGGGAGAUGGAAUUAGUGGUGUAGGGGUAAAAUCCGUAGAUAUCACUAGGAAUACCUAAGGCGAAGGCGAUCUCCUGGAACAUUACUGACGCUAAGGCGUGAAAGCGUGGGGAGCAAACAGGAUUAGAUACCCCCGUAGUC
rnacentral:rRNA from 1 species